CCAACAGGGAUUGCCUCAGUAACGGCGAGUGAAGCGGCAACAGCUCAAAUUUGAAAUCUGGUCCUUCCAGGGCCCGAGUUGUAAUUUGUAGAGGAUGCUUCGGGUGCGGCGCCGGUUUAAGAUCCUUGGAACAGGACGUCAUAGAGGGUGAGAAUCCCGUAUGUGACUGGCGAUCAAGCCCUUGUGAAGCUCCUUCGACGAGUCGAGUUGUUUGGGAAUGCAGCUCUAAAUGGGUGGUAAAUUUCAUCUAAAGCUAAAUACCGGCCAGAGACCGAUAGCGCACAAGUAGAGUGAUCGAAAGAUGAAAAGCACUUUGGAAAGAGAGUUAAAAAGUACGUGAAAUUGUUGAAAGGGAAGCGCUUGCGACCAGACUUGCCCGUGGGUGAUCAGCCGUUAUUCUUAGCGGUGCACUCGCCCAUGGUCAGGCCAGCAUCGGUUUGGGCGGUUGGAUAAAGGCCCCGGGAACGUAGCUCCCUCCGGGGAGUGUUAUAGCCCGGGGUGCAAUGCAGCCCGCCCGGACCGAGGACCGCGCUUCGGCUAGGAUGCUGGCGUAAUGGUCGUAAGCGACCCGUCUUGAAACACGGACCAAGA
rnacentral:rRNA from 1 species